rnacentral:rRNA from 1 species
GGACCUGACUGCUAUCGGAUUGAUACUAAGCCAUGCGAGUCAUUGUAGCAAUACAAGGCAUACGGCUCAGUAACGCGUAGUCAACCUAACCUAUGGACGGGAAUAACCUCGGGAAACUGAGAAUAAUGCCCGAUAGAACAUUAUGCCUGGAAUGGUUUAUGUUCCAAAUGAUUUAUCGCCGUAGGAUGGGACUGCGGCCUAUCAGUUUGUUGGUGAGGUAAUGGCCCACCAAGACUAUUACAGGUACGGGCUCUGAGAGGAGUAGCCCGGAGAUGGGUACUGAGACAAGGACCCAGGCCCUAUGGGGCGCAGCAGGCGAGAAAACUUUGCAAUGUGCGAAAGCACGACAAGGUUAAUCCGAGUGGUUUCUGCUAAAGAAACCUUUUGUCAGUCCUAGAAACACUGAUGAAUAAGGGGUGGGCAAGUUCUGGUGU